rnacentral:rRNA from 1 species
GACAGAGGAUGCAAGCGUUAUUCGGAAUGAUUGGGCGUAAAGCGUCUGUAGGUGGCUUUUUAUGUCCGCCGUCAAGUCCCAGGGCUCAACCCUGGACAGGCGGUGGAAACUACCAAGCUGGAGAACGGUAGGGGCAGAGGGAAUUUCCGGUGGAACGGUGAAAUGCGUAGAGAUCCGGAGGAACCCCAGAGGCGAAGGCGGCGCCCUGGCUCGCAACUGACGCUCAGACACGACAGCAUGGGGAGCGAACGGG